rnacentral:rRNA from 1 species
UACACCAAAAUUUUAUUUUAAUCCAACAUCGAGGUCGCAAUCCUUUCUUUCGAUAAGAACUCUCAAAAAAGAUUACGCUGUUAUCCCUAAGGUAAUUUACUCUUAUAAUCUAAAAUUUAGGAUCAAUCAAUCACUAAUUAAUGUAAAAUAAUAAAAAAAGUUUGCUCAAUUUUUCAAUCACCCCAACUAAAUUAAUAUUCCUAUAAAAAAUUUAUAUAUACCAAUAAUUAUUAUAAAUUUAUUAAUAAAACUCUAUAGGGUCUUCUCGUCUUUUAUUUAAAUUUAAGCUUUUUAACUUAAAAAUAAAAUUCUAAUGAACUUAAAUAGAGACAGUAAUUUCCUCAUCAAACCCUUCAUUCCAGCUUUCAAUUAAAAAACUAAUUAUUAUGCUACCUUUGCACGGUCAGUAUACCGCGGCCAUUUAACUCCUCAUUGGGCAGGCUAGACCUUAAAUUAUACUCAAAAG